rnacentral:rRNA from 1 species
UACGUAGGUGGCGAGCGUUGUCCGGAUUUACUGGGCGUAAAGAGCGCGCAGGCGGUCGUACAAGUCGCGUGUGAAAGCCCCCGGCUCAACUGGGGAGGGUCACGCGAUACUGUUCGACUCGAAGGCAGGAGAGGGAAGCGGAAUUCCCGGUGUAGUGGUGAAAUGCGUAGAUAUCGGGAGGAACACCAGUGGCGAAAGCGGCUCACUGGACCACAACUGACGCUGAGGCGCGAAAGCUAGGGGAGCAAACAGG